GAUAAUCUGUCUAUAAUAUGGAAAAAGAGAUGCUUUAUAUAACCUAAAUAAAGACCCAUAAUCUUUGCCACUUCCCACUACUAUGCAUGGACCCAUGAUCUAUGCCACUACCCACUGCAUCGAUCCAUGAUCUAUGCCACUAUCCACUACUGGAUAACUACCCACUACUGGUUAACUAUCCACUACUGAAUAACUACCCACUACUGGUUAACUACCCACGACUGGUUAACUACUAACUGCUAAAUAACUACCCACUACUAAAUAACUAUCCACUAUUAAAUAACUACCCACUAUAAAUACAAAGUUUGAACUGUCAAUAAGAACACAUUCGGCCUAAUUGACUUGGAAUGGCCAGAUUGUUCUUCAACUUUAAAAUGAACUUG
rnacentral:lncRNA from 1 species